rnacentral:rRNA from 1 species
GACGAACGCUGGCGGCGUGCCUAAUACAUGCAAGUUGAGCGCUGAAGGUUGGUACUUGUCCCAACUGGAUGAGCAGCGAACGGGUGAGUAACGCGUGGGGAAUCUGCCUUUGAUCGGGGGACAACAUUUGGAAACGAAUGCUAAUACCGCAUAAAAACUUUAAACACAAGUUUUAAGUUUGAAAGAUGCAAUUGCAUCACUCAAAGAUGAUCCCGCGUUGUAUUAGCUAGUUGGUGAGGUAAAGGCUCACCAAGGCGAUGAUACAUAGCCGACCUGAGAGGGUGAUCGGCCAACUUGGGACUGAGACACGGCCCAAACUCCUACGGGAGGCAGCAGUAGGGAAUCUUCGGAAAUGGACGAAAGUCUGACCGAGAAACGCCGCGGGAGUGAAGAAGGUUUUCGGAUCGUAAAACUCUGUUGGUAGAGAAGAAAGUUGGUGAGAGUGGAAAGCUCAUCAAGUGACGGUAACUACCCAGAAAGGGACGGCUAACUACGUG